CAUUUACUUAACAGUGAUAAAAAUUCCAUUACAUUCACAUGCAUUCUGGCGGCGGGUUUUUGUUGAACGGUCAUACAUAAUUUUAAAUCAUUAUGAAAUUAUUUAUUUCAGUACUGGUUGCUAGUUUAGGUCUAGCACUAUCUGAAACCUGUAACCAUGACGAUGACUGUACACUGACAACUUGUACAGAUGGACUCAGGCCAGAUUGCUAUCAUGGUCACAACGGCGUUAAUGUAUGUACGUGUAAACCAAAAGAUUACCAUCAUUACCUUGCCACCUAUAACUGCACAACCAGCGAACAGUGUUGGGGGAUCUUUGACCCUUGUCAUGGAAAGGCUAAAUGGCAUUGUUUGGACAGCCGAUGUGAAUGUUCAGAUCUUGACCACCACGGGCAUUAAAUUUCACAAAUACCGACCUUUUAGAUUCAUUUGUCCUUGAUUUAUAUUAUAUAUUGUGCAUAUAUUUUCCGUUUCUUAGCACUGUUACAUACUGUCGCAUAUAAAAAAAUAAAACUGACAGUGAAGAAUAUUUCGGAUAUCUUUAAAUAAUAUUAGUAGUCCGACACACAGUGAUUUCAAGAUGUGUGUGACAACAUGAUGACGAUGAAACUGACAGCAAAACGAAGAAAGUUUAAAUAACAUUA
rnacentral:lncRNA from 1 species